GACGAACGCUGGCGGCGUGCUUAACACAUGCAAGUCGAACGGAAAGGCCCUGCUUUUGUGGGGUGCUCGAGUGGCGAACGGGUGAGUAACACGUGAGUAACCUGCCCUUGACUUUGGGAUAACUUCAGGAAACUGGGGCUAAUACCGGAUAGGAGCUCCUGCUGCAUGGUGGGGGUUGGAAAGUUUCGGCGGUUGGGGAUGGACUCGCGGCUUAUCAGCUUGUUGGUGGGGUAGUGGCUUACCAAGGCUUUGACGGGUAGCCGGCCUGAGAGGGUGACCGGCCACAUUGGGACUGAGAUACGGCACAGACUCCUACGGGAGGCAGCAGUGGGGAAUAUUGCACAAGGGGCGGAAGCCUGAUGCAGCAACGCAGCGUGCGGGAUGACGGCCUUCGGGUUGUAAACCGAUUUCGCCUGUGACGAAGCGUGAGUGACGGUAAUGGGUAAAGAAGCACCGGCUAACUACGUG
rnacentral:rRNA from 1 species